AAACCAAAUUAUAUAUUUGGAGAACUAACGUUGGAGCGUUAGAUGAUAUGAAAAUUUUCACGAGUGCAUUUUUGCUCACUUCCUCGCGCGCCCAGAAACUCAUAGUUCAAGCAGGUGAGAAUUUUGCCUUUAUUGCUCGCGAGACGUGAGUUUGUUCGAUCGACGUCCGCACCCUGUGCGUUUUUGGCUUCGCGAGACGUGAGUUUGUUCGAUCGACGUCCGCACCCUGUGCGUUUUUGGCUUCGCGAGACGUGAGUUUGUUCGAUCGACGUCCGCACCCUGUGCGUUUUUGGCUUCGCGAGACGUGAGUUUGUUCGAUCGACGUCCGCACACUGUGCGUUUUUGGCUUCGCGAGGCAGUGAGCAAAGUGCACGCGUGAAAUUUUCCUCACCGUGGGCGCCGUGCUUAAAAAAACCUUCGUUGCUUACCAUCCAAAAUGUACCGUAGGCACUGGGAAAGUGAACGUUGAGUUUUAUUCCAUACUCUGUGCUUUAAAGUUGGUUUGCAUGUGACGUCACGCUCAUUAGCAUAACAACCCGGCGGCCAUGUUGGAGGUCUAAACACAUUCCAUGCCCCUCAAACGCGCAAAAGUUUGAUAACAAACUCAUCACAAAAAUAUUACCCAUAUGUAAGUCCACUUGAUGAUGAAGGAUUUCAGGAUGAUUUAAUUAUUAAGACAAAUGUCAGGAAUAAGUGGUUAGUCGAGGGGAUCCAAACUAACAACCAGACACCAAAACAGACGAGUUUUUUGCGAUCAUUUCAUCACUGGAUGUGAUCUUUCUCUUCUAGGAUGAAAAAAAAGAGUGUGCUGUUAUACCUCUAAAAUUAUGGGAGAAAAAUGCGACUAUGGCCUAUGAGACUAGUGGCUGGCCUAUGUAAACAACAAAGAAAAACACAAAUUCAUAGA